GGAAACAAUAGCUUUCUAUAAAGAAGGUUCUCAGUGUUUUUAAAAGAAUAAUCAAUGAAGAUUGCCUACUACUAGGUUUCAUACCGAAAGAUGAUCGUCCGGAUUGGAUGAUAUUACAACUUCUUCCUAUUCAACCACCUACUAUAUGGGUGGUAGAGAAGGAAGUGGUCACUCGAGUUUCCCUCAUGUUGCACUCAAUGAG